UACGAAGGGGGCUAGCGUUGUUCGGAAUCACUGGGCGUAAAGCGCACGCAGGCGGAUUGAUAAGUCGGGGGUGAAAUCCCGGGGCUCAACCUCGGAAUUGCCUUCGAUACUGUCUGUCUUGAGUCCGGGAGAGGUGAGUGGAAUUCCUAGUGUAGAGGUGAAAUUCGUAGAUAUUAGGAAGAACACCAGUGGCGAAGGCGGCCAUCUGGGAGGGCACUGACGCUGAGACGCGAAAGCGUGGGGAGCAAACAGG
rnacentral:rRNA from 1 species